rnacentral:rRNA from 1 species
GACGAACGCUGGCGGCGUGCUUAACACAUGCAAGUCGAACGGAAAGUCCCUGAUUGUGGCGUGCGCUCGAGUAGCGAACGGGUGGGUAACAGGGGAGUAACCUGCCCUUGAAUUUGGGAUAACUUCAGGGAACUGGGGCUAAUACCGGAUAGGAGCUCCGCUGCAUGGUUGGGGUUGGAAAGUUUCGGCGGUUGGGGAUGGACGCGCGGCUUAUCCGCUUGUUGGUGGGGCAGUGGCUUACCAAGGCGUUGACGGGUAGCCGGCCUGAGAGGGUGACCGGCCACAUAGGGACUGAGAUACGGGCCGGACGGCUACGGGAGGCAGCGGUGGGGAUUUGUCCACGAUGGGCGGAAGCCUUAUGGAGCAACGCCGCGUGCGAGAUGACGGCCGUCGGGUUAUAACACGCUUUCGCCUGGGAAGAAGCGUGAGUGACGGUAAUGAGUAAAGAAGCACCGGCUAACUACGUG